UAAGCUCUCCUUUAUGAACUAUCCUUUAGACAGCUAAUAACAACACUAAGUUCAGUCCUAUAGACUGAACAUAAGUUACAAUACUAAAAAACAAAAAUCUUAUUGUAUUUUACAACUAUUAAAGACUUGCAUGCCCGGUAGUUGAGCGCAGACCGCUUACUAUGAUUUGUGCGCAAGUAAGCGUUCGUAUAACUCCAGGAGUCACUUGCGAAACUCUAUAGUAUGCUACGUUGCCACUAGCAUAGUUAGUUAUUUUCAGGUCAAACUAUAAUACCCGUUUAAUCUAGAAAGAUAUUCAAGAGAAAAGAUUAGAAAUUUUGGUAUAAUUGCUCAUGUUGAUCACUUCAAAAAUCCGGUAGCCGAUCGUUUACUAGAGCUGGCAGUAUGAUAGUCAAGGAACAUGUCCAUUUACAUUACAAAGUUUGGAGAUCUUUUCAAGGCCCUCUUUUAUCAAUGAUUGCCAAUCAAGGAGUUCGAGACCAAACGAUUGCUAACUUUGAUUUGGCCUUCGCAGCCGAUUAAAAUUUAAUUCCUAUUGCUAUUCUUCUGCAAAUAUAGCAAGAGUGAAAAGUCAGACGCAAGCUCCUUUUGGUUUUAAGGACAGUGAGUUUUUAUUUGCUCUGCAGUAUUAAUAUUGCUCUGCGAAAAACCAAAGUUGACACUGAAGCCAUUCUUCCUGCCUGUUGUGGAGCGUAUCAGCUGACACUCCUUUUAAAGGCUUACUGUGUGACACUUGGUUCGACAGCUACCGUGGCGUGGGCAUGCUAAACGAAGUGAUUGGAGGAGCAGUGCGCGAAGGUUAUAUUAUACAGACAUUUGCGAAUCGGAAGAAAUAUGAAGUCUGUAAAGUUGGCGUGCUAUCUCCUGACUAUAUACCGACGAAAAGAUUCUGGACAAGUUGGCUAUAUUUUUGCUAAUAUUCAAAAUACAAAAGAAAUAAAAGUUGUACUAAGGUGAUACGUUUUUUCCCCCCCGAGCAUUUAGAUGCACCCUUUACAGGCACGUAUCCCGUGGAAAGCUCGUCGUAUAAUAGGCUAAAAGCAGACCUGUCCAAGUUACUACUGACGGCCAACAGCGUUACUCACAGCAGCAGCUAAGGAACUCUAAAUAUGGAAUUCUUGUUCAACGGCUGGAAGAAGAGUUUGACGCAACUGUUCUAACGACUUCUACAAAUUAUUGUAAUUGUUGCUUUGUGUAAGCCCCCGUUUUACGUGCAACAUCUAUGAUCGGUUAUAUAGUAAACACAAUAAAAAUAGUGUUUCCUAUAAAUUGAACCUCAGAAACGGUGGCGUUGUGCUUGGAGAAAAUCCAGACUUCUUCCAGACCACAAGAUAUAUUAUAAUAUGGUUAUCCCACCAAAAUAAAAAGGUUAUAGGUAUCAUCAUAUGCCCGGAAAGUAUUUGGGAAAGUUCGUUGCCCGCGUGACUGAGAUACGAGCCACACCCACAACAACUUCAUUAUAUGGAUGAAGGAAAAGUUAUACUGAAAUUUAGAAUUCCUUUUGCUAAAGUGCUGCUGUUACUAUAGUUUUGAUAUUAUUAUAGAUAACAAACUUUCAGAGCAAGGUGAAGUCCGUCCUAUGGACUAUGCGAGUUUACUUAGCAAAAGUAGUUAUUUAACCCCCAGGAACCCCCAGGAAAAAGAGUUGAUACACUCACCAGUGUAGUUAACGCGAAUCCCGAAUUUUAUACGAAGCAAGCUUUACACGUAAAAAGAAUUAUGAAAUUACCAAUAUUUUUACGAAUUUUUAGAUUACUACAAAAAUUGAAACACUUAUUUGUUUGUUUAUUAUUUCGGCUUGCAGAAAAAUAUAUGUAAAACUUAAAGAAUCUCGUCAUUGGAAAGUGGGAUCGAAAAUUAUAGCCCGCGAAACAUUGAAGGCAUUUCACGUAAGGACGUCACAGCAAAAUGCGUAUAACUUUUAUUAUUACAGUUAAAGUUAUUAUAUAUUUUUAACAUUAUAGAGACUUUACACCCAGUUCUUUUUUAUUUUUAAUGUUACUUUUACCUAAGAACGUUGUUAGUAAGGCCGCGAUGUUACAAGGGAACUAAAAUUAUCAGACAAACAAAAGAAGGAAAGAAAAGAAUGAAAAUGAAAGGAAACGAUGGAGUUCAAGAGUCAUUUUUUACAGUACUCGCUCAUAAUAAACAAUGACCCUUCAACACUAUGGGUAGGUCAUUCUAUGUAUCGGGCUUGUCCGCUAAUCGCAGCUCUCCUAGUAUUAGCUAGCACGCGCUG